CUGCGUUUUAUUACACAAAUAUGUGUGUGUAUGUAUAUGUAUAUAUAUAAUUGACAUCUGGGUUCUACGUUCACACGGACUUACGCCCGACCCUGCAUUCCUUAACGAUUCUUUUAAAAAUAAUUUGUAGAAUAAUAUAGUGUAAUUUCUGUAUACACGAUAUUACUAUAUUUCACCCUUAUAUUUAUAUUAUGGGUACGAAUAUCGAGCUUAGUCAACAAAAAUAAGCCACAUCUGGACGAACAUUGACGGGGUAUUAAGAGCCCCGCCAGCCUACGUCGGUGGCCUGGUGGACUCACAUGAUGGCCAAGACAGUGACCGUCGGGUGAUCCGACGGAUGCACGUGGUCAAGACGGCAAAUUCCGGUAUACGACGCGCAGGAUCCGCCCCAAGAUCGACCCUUUUCUUUAUACAUAUGUGUGUAUAUCAAUCAGCGAACCAGUUCGGUAUUGCGCGCGUCGAACGGUGUAGGUGGGGGUGGCCGUCGAUGGCCAUAAUUUUGGACACUUGACCGCUGUCCACCCAAUAUUGAAUCAGUCCUAUUUUGUCUACAGCAUAAAACAGACCUCUCCAGAUAUUAUUAGUCACCAGCUCAAGUCAUAAAUAUUACAACACCUCCGUACGAAUAAAGUGAGUUUUAUUUAAUAAUUAUUAUAUGCAGUCGUAUUACACUAGUGUAAUGUCUAUAAUUUUUAAAAUAUCAUUACUUUAUAUUAUAUUAUACGAAAUUAACGGGAGUUAUAUUUUUCAGUUCUGAAUUCAUACCCUAUCAACAUUCAACUACGUCAAGUCAUACACAACUACACGAUCUACUAAAAAUAAAAUUCAACUCGUCUCCGUAGUUCACUUUAUCAAUUCUCCAGUCCGCAGCAGAAACAUCGAAUAAAUUUAAUAUGGAUACGAAUACGAUCUUGUUGGAGUCAUUAAAUGCGCAGUGCUGCAACGUAAAUCUUUCAAUCGGUGACCUCCAAAAGGACGUCCCGUAUCCGGUUAAUUCGAUGAAGAACGCCGAUACCAAAUUUGGCGUCGCGGUAGCAUGCAUACUCCACGAUGACUCAACCGGGGGAACAGUGAACGUGUUCCUCCCGAAGUCGAUAAGGAUGACUGUGGAAGCAUGUGAAACGUAUAACCGGGGCGAGGGGGUAAGGUUAAGCCUAGUUUUUAGGGGGAUGAAUAAUAGGAGUUUUGUGAUAGGUUUUGAAAGAAAUCUAUUAUGACUCUCCUAUUAACAUUAUAAUUAACUGUUAAAAUGUUUUAAUAAAAAAAAUUAAAAAUAUGUCGUUAUUCUCGUUUUAUCUAGAUCGUUUAAU